UACGAAGGGGGCGAGCGUUGUUCGGAAUUAUUGGGCGUAAAGGGUGCGUAGGCGGUUCCGCAAGUCCUGUGUGAAAUCUUCGGGCUCAACUCGAAGUCUGCACGGGAAACUGCGGGGCUUGAGUGUGGGAGAGGUGAGUGGAAUUCCUGGUGUAGCGGUGAAAUGCGCAGAUAUCAGGAGGAACACCAAUGGCGAAGGCAGCUCGCUGGGACGUGACUGACGCUGAGACGCGAAAGCGUGGGGAGCAAACAGG
rnacentral:rRNA from 1 species